rnacentral:lncRNA from 1 species
AAAUCAAAAUCCGAGCCUAGUAUUAGCCAUGGGGUUAAGUGUUCCUCUAGAGGAAAGCAAGGGUUCCUCUUAUGCUACCCAUUGGC